UUGAACGCUGGCGGCAGGCCUAACACAUGCAAGUCGAGCGGCAGCGCGGGGGCAACCCUGGCGGCGAGCGGCGAACGGGUGAGUAAUACAUGGGAAUCUACCUGGUAGUGGGGGAUAACUUCGGGAAACUGGAGGUAAUACCGCAUACGUCCUACGGGAGAAAGGGGGGGAUCUUCGGACCUCUCGCUAUCAGAGGAGCCCAUGUCCGAUUAGCUAGUUGGUGAGGUAAAGGCUCACCAAGGCGACGAUCGGUAACUGGUCUGAGAGGAUGGUCAGUCACACUGGAACUGAGACACGGUCCAGACUCCUACGGGAGGCAGCAGUGGGGAAUAUUGGACAAUGGGGGCAACCCUGAUCCAGCCAUGCCGCGUGUGUGAAGAAGGCCUUCGGGUUGUAAAGCACUUUAAGCAGGGAGGAAGGCUCGUACGUUAAUAGCGUGCGGGAGUGACGUUACCUGCAGAAUCAGCACCGGCAAACUCCGU
rnacentral:rRNA from 1 species